rnacentral:rRNA from 1 species
AACGAACGCUGGCGGCAUGCCUUACACAUGCAAGUCGAACGAGACCUUCGGGUCUAGUGGCGCACGGGUGCGUAACGCGUGGGAACCUGCCCUUAGGUUCGGAAUAACUCCCCGAAAGGGGUGCUAAUACCGGAUAAUGUCUUCGGACCAAAGAUUUAUCGCCUUUGGUUGGGCCCGCGUUGGAUUAGCUAGUUGGUAGGGUAAAAGCCUACCAAGGCGACGAUCCAUAGCUGGUCUGAGAGGAUGAUCAGCCACACUGGGACUGGGACACGGCCCAGACUCCUACGGGAAGCAGCAGUGGGGAAUAUUGGACAAUGGGCGAAAGCCUGAUCCAGCAAUGCCGCGUGAGUGAUGAAGGCCUUAGGGUUGUAAAGCUCUUUUACCCGGGAUGAUAAUGACAGUACCGGGAGAAUAAGCUCCGGCUAACUCCGUG